UACGUAGGGUGCAAGCGUUAUCCGGAAUUAUUGGGCGUAAAGAGCUCGUAGGCGGUUUGUCGCGUCUGCUGUGAAAUUUCGGGGCUCAACCCCGAACUUGCAGUGGGUACGGGCAGACUAGAGUGUGGUAGGGGAGACUGGAAUUCCUGGUGUAGCGGUGAAAUGCGCAGAUAUCAGGAGGAACACCGAUGGCGAAGGCGGGUCUCUGGGCCGAUACUGACGCUGAGGAGCGAAAGCGUGGGGAGCGAACAGG
rnacentral:rRNA from 1 species